rnacentral:lncRNA from 1 species
ACUACCAUCACCUGAUGGGAAGAUGAAGGUAACUGUUAUGCAAAUCACAGUGGCGUUGAGCAGCUUAAAAAACAUCUUCACGCCUCUCCUUUUUCGAGGACUUCUGUCAUUUUUGACAUGGUGGAUUGCUGCUUGCCUCUUUUCUACAAGCCUUUUUGGGCUUUUCUAUCAUCAGUAUCUGACAGUGGCAUGAAUUUCAGUCAAAAAUGGAUAUCCAAGUCACACUUUAAAUUCAAAUAUCUGUGCCCUUGAAGGUUGACAAAAGAAGAAUGCAAAUACAACGGAGAAAAACGUAUCGGAGUGUCUUGUUUUGAAUGCUUCCUCUGUGCUCUCAGGGUGAAUUCAUGUUGUAAUAUUUAAAAAUCACAAGAUAGGUUGUUACACUGUUACACUGUGGCAUUGGAAUUGUAACUCAUCGGGAUAACCAAUGUGAGAGGGCUAUCUGCAGAGGCAAUCCUGCGGAUUACCUUGGUUUACAGUUGCAAACCUACAACAGUCUUUUAGGCUUCUCCUAGGACUCCAGUAACUGACUGCUUUCCGUGGUGUUGUGGUACUGUUAUUACUCGUAUUUGCUGCCUGUAGAACAAUCUUCAAACUGAGCCAUGCUCGAGGGAAGGGAAAGGAACUACAAUUACUUCUGUUGGUAAUGUAUUAGUCUUCAAAAAAAAUCCAACAGAAAGGAAGAGAAAGCUACUGUAUAUUACAGUAAGAAAAGUUGCAUAGUCAUUUUAAAUUGAAUGGAGAUAUAAAUCGCCUAAUGUCUACAAGCACUGUUACUUGAGAGUAGCAGGAAUAUUGUUUUAAAGUGUGUGCCACCCAGCUUGAAAGUUCUUUUGAAAUGAUUGGCCAAACGAACAUUAGCAGUCUCACUGUUAGUUUUGGGCCUCCUGUAUUUUACUUUUUCUUUGAUUCUAAAUAGUUAUGUUUAAUCUAAAAAUAUUUAUCAAUACUGAUCAAAUUUGAGAAUUACUUUGUAAUCCUGCUAAGUGUAUGUAUUGUAUAUAUAUUAUAUAUUAAAUAUAUAAUAUAUUGAGGUUAUAAAAGAUGAAAAUAUUGAAUCCUUAUAAUAUUUUAAGUUACAGAAUGUCCGUUAAACAAUGAUUGAAUGAGAUGUAUUUGUAUCUAGAAAUUUCUGUUUGGAAUGAGAUUAAAAUACAUUUUUAAAAGCUC